rnacentral:rRNA from 1 species
GAUGAACGCUAGCGGCAGGCUUAAUACAUGCAAGUUGAGGGGCAGCAUGAUAUACGCGAGUAUAUUGAUGGCGACCGGCGGACGGGUGAGUAAUAGGUAGGAGACCUACCUCAUACAGGGGGAUAGCAUAGAGAAAUCUGUGGUAAUACCCCAUGAGGUUAUAUGAAUAGAGGCAUAUAAUCAAAGCAUAAGUGAUUAUGCGGUAUGAGAGGGGCCUACUGACCAUUAGCUAGUUGGUGAGGUAAGGGCUCACCAAGGCGAAGAUGGUUAGGGGUUUUGAGAGAGAGACCCCCCACAUUGGAACUGAGAGACGGUCCNNACUCCUACGGGAGGCAGCAGUAGGGAAUAUUGGGCAAUGGGCGAAAGCCUGACCNNNCNNNGCCGCGUGAAGGAAGACGGCCUUAUGGGUUGUAAACUUCUUUACUACGCGAAUAGAGGUUAGUACGAGAUACUAAUAGGAAGGUAGUGUAGUAAAAAGCACCGGCUAACUCCGUGCCAGCAGCCGCGGUAAUACGGAGGGUGCGAGCGUUAUUCGGAAUUACUGGGUUUAAAGGGUGCGUAGGCGGUUAAAUAAGUUGUCAGUGAAAGGCUACGGCUCAACUGUAGUAGUGCUGGCGAUACUGUAUAACUAAGGACAUGGGAGGGGUNNNNNGAAUGUGUGGUGUAGCGGUGAAAUGCGUAGAUAUCACACAGAACACCGGAGGCAAAGGCGGGGUACUAGACCAUAGUUGACGCUGAGGCACGAAAGUGUGGGGAUCAAACAGGAUUAGAUACCCUGGUAGUCCACACUGUAAACGAUGAUAACUCGCUGCCGGCGAUACACAGUCGGUAGCCAAGCGAAAGCGAUAAGUUAUCCACCUGGGGAGUACGACCGCAAGGUUGAAACUCAAAGGAAUUGACGGGGGCCCGCACAAGCGGAGGAACAUGUGGUUUAAUUCGAUGAUACGCGAGGAACCUUACCCGGGCUCGAACGGUGCAUGAAUAUAAAAGAGAUUUUAUAGUCCUUCGGGACAUGUAUCGAGGUGCUGCAUGGUUGUCGUCAGCUCGUGCCGUGAGGUGUAGGCUUAAGUGCCAUAACGAGCGCAACCCUUGUCGUUAGUUGCCAUCAGGUAAUGCUGGGAACUCUAGCGAGACUGCCACCGUAAGGUGUGAGGAGGGGGGGGAUGACGUCAAAUCAGCACGGCCCUUAUGUCCGGGGCGACACACGUGUUACAAUGGGGGGUACAGAGGGCAGCCAUCCGGUGACGGAGCGCUAAUCUCCAAAACCCUUCUCAGUUCGGAUUGGAGUCUGCAACCCGACUCCAUGAAGUUGGAUUCGCUAGUAAUCGCGCAUCAGCCAUGGCGCGGUGAAUACGUUCCCGGGCCU